GGUAGUAUAGCCAAGUGGUAAGGCCAGGGUCUGCAAAACCCUUACCCCCGGUUCAAAUCCGGGUACUACCU
rnacentral:tRNA from 1 species